UACGUAGGUGGCAAGCGUUGUCCGGAUUUACUGGGUGUAAAGGGCGCGUAGGCGGGGAGACAAGUCAGAUGUGAAAUCUAUGGGCUUAACCCAUAAACUGCAUUUGAAACUAUUUCUCUUGAGUGAUGGAGAGGCAAGCGGAAUUCCUAGUGUAGCGGUGAAAUGCGUAGAUAUUAGGAGGAACACCAGUGGCGAAGGCGGCUUGCUGGACAUUAACUGACGCUGAGGCGCGAAAGCGUGGGGAGCAAACAGG
rnacentral:rRNA from 2 species